GAUGAACGCUGGCGGUAUGCUUAACACAUGCAAGUCGAACGGACUCUUCCGAGUUAGUGGCGGACGUGUGAGUAACGCGUGAGAAUCUGGCUUUGGGUUCGGUACACUCACUGGAAACGGUGGCUAAUACCGGAUGUGCCGAGAGGUAAAAGAGAAAUGGCCUGCAGAUGAGCUCGCGUCUGAUUAGCUAGUUGGUGAGGUAAAGGCUCACCAAGGCAGCGAUCAGUAGCUGGUCUGAGAGGAUGACCAGCCACACUGGGACUGAGACACGGCCGAGACGCAUAGGGGAGGCAGGAGUGGAGAAUUUUCCGAAAUGGGCGAAAGGGUGACGGAGGAAUACCGCGUGAGAGAAGAAGGCUCUGGGGUUGAAAAGCUCUUUUCUUAGGGAAGGAGAAAAUGACGGUACCUAAGGAAUAAGCACCGGCUAACUACGUG
rnacentral:rRNA from 1 species